UAGGGAAUCUUCGGCAAUGGGGGCAACCCUGACCGAGCAACGCCGCGUGAGUGAAGAAGGUUUUCGGAUCGUAAAGCUCUGUUGUAAGAGAAGAACGUGUGUGAGAGUGGAAAGUUCACACAGUGACGGUAACUUACCAGAAAGGGACGGCUAACUACGUGCCAGCAGCCGCGGUAAUACGUAGGUCCCGAGCGUUGUCCGGAUUUAUUGGGCGUAAAGCGAGCGCAGGCGGUUUAAUAAGUCUGAAGUUAAAGGCAGUGGCUUAACCAUUGUUCGCUUUGGAAACUGUUAAACUUGAGUGCAGAAGGGGAGAGUGGAAUUCCAUGUGUAGCGGUGAAAUGCGUAGAUAUAUAGAGGAACACCGGUGGCGAAAGCGGCUCUCUGGUCUGUAACUGACGCUGAGGCUCGAAAGCGUGGGGAGCAAACAGG
rnacentral:rRNA from 1 species